ACGGGGUGCAGCAGUCGCGAAAACUCCACACUGGGGGUAACCCCGAUGAGGGAAUUCCAAGUGCUAGUACAGAGUAUUAGCUUUUCUUCAGUAUAGAUAGCUGGGGGAAUAAGGGCUGGGUAAGACGGGUGCCAGCCGCCGCGGUAAUACCCGCAGCCCAAGUGGUGGUCGAUAUUAUUGAGUCUAAAACGUUCGUAGCCGGUUCGAUAAAUCCUUGGGUAAAUCGGUCAGCUUAACUGACCGACUUCCGAGGAGACUGCCGAACUUGGGACCGGGAGAGGCUAGAGGUACUUCUGGGGUAGGGGUAAAAUCCUGUAAUCCUAGAAGGACCACCGGUGGCGAAGGCGUCUAGCUAGAACGGAUCCGACGGUGAGGAACGAAGCCCUGGGGCGCAAACGGGAUUAGAUACCCCGGUAGUCCAGGGUGUAAACGCUGCAGACUUGGUGUUGGGGACCCUUCGGGGGUAUCCAGUGCCGGAGAGAAGUUGUUAAGUCUGCUACUU
rnacentral:rRNA from 1 species